rnacentral:rRNA from 1 species
GACGAACGCUGGCGGCGUGCUUAACACAUGCAAGUCGAACGGAAAGGCCCUGCUUUUGUGGGGUGCUCGAGUGGCGAACGGGUGAGUAACACGUGAGUAACCUGCCCUUGACUUUGGGAUAACUUCAGGAAACUGGGGCUAAUACCGGAUAGGAGCUCCUGCUGCAUGGUGGGGGUUGGAAAGUUUCGGCGGUUGGGGAUGGACUCGCGGCUUAUCAGCUUGUUGGUGGGGUAGUGGCUUACCAAGGCUUUGACGGGUAGCCGGCCUGAGAGGGUGACCGGGGAAACGGGGAGUGAGAUAGGGCCCAGAGGGGUAGGCGGGGGAGGAGGGGGGAAGGGGGCAAAAUGGGCGGACGGCUGAUGCAGCAAUGCCGCGUGUGGGAGGACGUCAUGGGGGGUGGAAAGAGCAGAAGCAGGGGACGAAGCGUGAGUGACGGUAAUGGGUAAAGAAGGAAAGGCCAACUAGGUG